ACGGGAGGCAGCAGUGGGGAAUAUUGCGCAAUGGGGGAAACCCUGAUGCAGCAACGCCGCGUGAAGGAAGACGGUCUUCGGAUUGUAAACUUUUGUUCUUGGUGAAGAAGAAUGACGGUAGCCAAGGAGGAAGCCACGGCUAACUACGUGCCAGCAGCCGCGGUAAUACGUAGGUGGCAAGCGUUGUCCGGAAUUACUGGGUGUAAAGGGAGCGCAGGCGGGAAAUCAAGUUGGAUGUGAAAUGUCGGGGCUUAACCCCGGAACUGCAUCCAAAACUGAUAUUCUUGAGUGAAGUAGAGGUAGGCGGAAUUCCGAGUGUAGCGGUGAAAUGCGUAGAUAUUCGGAGGAACACCAGUGGCGAAGGCGGCCUACUGGGCUUUAACUGACGCUGAGGCUCGAAAGUGUGGGGAGCAAACAGGAUUAGAUACCCUGGUA
rnacentral:rRNA from 1 species